UCCAGUUGAUCCUGCUGGCGGCUGCGGCUCUCUGAUUUGCACUUAGACAUGCAAGUUUUUUUGUUUCUUCGGAAAUAGAUAAGCGAACUGCUCAGUAACACGUAGCUAACCUACCCUUAAGUCAAGAAUACCCUCUGGGAAACUGAGGCUAAUGCUUGAUAGGAGAUCCACCCUGGAAUGAUGUAUCUCUCAAACUCGCGCUUAAGGAUGGGGCUGCGGCGGAUUAGGUUGUUGGCGGGGUAAUAGCCCACCAAGCCUAUGAUCCGUAAGGGCUCUUAGCGGAGAAGCCCUGAGAGGAAAUCUGAGACACUAUUUCCAGCCCCACGGGGUGCAGCAGUUAGGAAUAUUUUGCAAUGCGCGUAAGCGUGACAAAUUGAGCCAGAGUGAUUUUCAAAUUUGAAAAUCUUUUAUGAAAUGUAAAAAGUUUCACGAAUAAGGACUGGGUAAGACUAGUGCCA
rnacentral:rRNA from 1 species